UACGUAGGGACCAAGCGUUGUUUGGAUUUACUGGGCGUAAAGGGCGCGUAGGCGGCGCGGUAAGUCACUUGUGAAAUCUCUGAGCUUAACUCAGAACGGCCAAGUGAUACUGCAGUGCUAGAGUGUGGAAGGGGCAAUCGGAAUUCUUGGUGUAGCGGUGAAAUGCGUAGAUAUUAGGAGGAACACCGGUGGCGAAGGCGCCGCUCUGGGCCGAAACUGACGCUGAGGAGCGAAAGCGUGGGUAGCAAACAGG
rnacentral:rRNA from 1 species